UACGAAGGGGGCUAGCGUUGCUCGGAAUUACUGGGCGUAAAGCGCACGUAGGCGGCUUUCUACGUCGGGGGUGAAAUCCUGGAGCUCAACUCCAGAACUGCCUUCGAUACUGGAGAGCUCGAGUCCGGGAGAGGUGAGUGGAACUGCGAGUGUAGAGGUGAAAUUCGUAGAUAUUCGCAAGAACACCAGUGGCGAAGGCGGCUCACUGGCCCGAUACUGACGCUGAGGUGCGAAAGCGUGGGGAGCAAACAGG
rnacentral:rRNA from 1 species